CUUUAAGAUUCAAAAAACUUUAAUUCAGGUAAACCCUUACACAGUAGUUUCUUCAAGUUGGUAUAUGGUACAAAUGGUGUCCAGACUCAGGGUGCGCAAUCCUCUGCAGUCAGCAACCAUAUAGCAGCUUAACAAUCCAUAUAAAACAACAUACAGAGGAAAAUAUAUUACAUUAAAUAAAUACAGUGCGUCCUUCUCCCAGCCCUACGCGUUUCGUCCUACGAACGGACUUCUUC